CUCCGCGCAAUGUUCGACGUAGUGAUAGGUGUACGUCGUGUUUCGUUGCUUCGUAUAAUUGCAGCGUAUCAUGAAGUAACCUAGCAGAAAAUCGAAUGGAGUGAAUGUUAGUGCAUCAUUCUUCACGACAGCAGAAUUCUCAUCAUCGAAAAGAUCAACGAUACAUCCACGAUGUCCUUGAACUACGGGGUCCACUUAUCUUCCUUGUCAUUGGUCUUGUCGCCAUCUUCGAUACGGUUACAAGUGCACACGGUGUUUCGUCGCUCCGCAUAAUUACAGAUUUCCAAGAAUUCAACGAGCUCGAAUAAUAAUAAUAAUAAUACAGUACAAAUCGCCAGAUUUAUACGCGUCCUCCUCGUUGUAUAUAUAUAUAUAUAUAUAUAGGUAUGUAUGUCCUUUUGUAAAAACAUUCAACAAGCUUAAUAUAGAGAGAUAGGUAACAUUGGGUAUAAACAUACGCAUGAGUGUGUGUAUUUCCAAGAAAUUUUUCGGUCGAGAGUAAAACAAAAACAUUCGAACGUCGAACUUUUUCAAGGUUACGGAAUAAUUCCUCAUUUACAUAUCGUAUUUCGACGAGUACAGAUGUACGAAGAGGUAGAUUAUUUUCUUUUUAAUUACGUAUUUUAUUAAUAAAUAUUUUUAUUUUAAUCUCGUCGCGAUU